rnacentral:ncRNA from 1 species
ACUGUUCCCUAGGAUUGGCUUUGGGCUUUUCCUGCACAGCUUAGGUGGAAGGCGAUGAAGGCCUCCUUCUAGGGUGGCCCAAGCCAUCAGUGAGAUACCACUUUGGGAGAGUUAGAAUUCUAACCCUAUGUCAGGACCUACGGGCCAAGGGACAGUCUCAGGUAGACAGUGCCUAUGGGGCGUAGGCCUCCCAAAAGGUAACGAAGGCAUGCAAAGGUUUCCUCGGGCCGGACGAAGAUUGGCCCUAUCACGAGUAUCGAUACUCGGGGUAAUUUUAUUGAUACCUUUUCAAUUGUACCGAUAUUUUCUUGUGUUUUGAUUUUAGGCGAGAAACAAAAUGCUGAUUUGGUA